UACGAAGGGGGCUAGCGUUGCUCGGAAUUACUGGGCGUAAAGCGCACGUAGGCGGAUCUUCAAGUCAGGGGUGAAAUCCUGGAGCUCAACUCCAGAACUGCCUUUGAUACUGAGGGUCUUGAGUUCGGGAGAGGUGAGUGGAACUGCGAGUGUAGAGGUGAAAUUCGUAGAUAUUCGCAAGAGCACCAGUGGCGAAGGCGGCUCACUGGCCCGAUACUGACGCUGAGGUGCGAAAGCGUGGGGAGCAAACAGG
rnacentral:rRNA from 1 species